rnacentral:rRNA from 1 species
AGAUUGAACGCUGGCGGCAUGCCUUACACAUGCAAGUCGAACGGCAGCACGGGAGCAAUCCUGGUGGCGAGUGGCGAACGGGUGAGUAAUAUAUCGGAACGUGCCCAGUCGUGGGGGAUAACGCAGCGAAGGCUGUGCUAAUACCGCAUACGAUCUAUGGAUGAAAGCGGGGGAUCGCAAGACCUCGCGCGAUUGGAGCGGCCGAUAUCAGAUUAGCUAGUUGGUGGGGUAAAAGCCUACCAAGGCGACGAUCUGUAGCUGGUCUGAGAGGACGACCAGCCACACUGGAACUGAGACACGGUCCAGACUCCUACGGGAGGCAGCAGUGGGUAAUUUUGGACAAGUGGGCGUCAAGCCUGAUCCAGCAAUGCCGCGUGCAGGAUGAAGGUCCGUUACGGUU